UACGUAGGGGCCAAGCGUUGUUCGGAAUUAUUGGGCUUAAAGAGCACGUAGGUGGGAAGUUAAGUGUUUUGUGAAAUCCCCCGGCUUAACCGGGGAAUGGCAGGGCAUACUGGCUUUCUUGAGGCAAGCAGGGGUGCAUGGAACUUUGGGUGGAGCGGUGAAAUGCGUAGAUAUCCAAAGGAACGCCAGUGGUGAAAACGGUGCACUGGGCUUGUACUGACACUGAGGUGCGAAAGCGUGGGUAGCGAACGGGAUUAGAUACCCCGGUAGUCCACGCCGUAAACGAUGUCUACUAGAUCGUGGAAGUUCUGACGCUUUCACGGUCGAAGCAAAAGUGUUUAGUAGACCGCCUGGGGAGUACGGUCGCAAGGCUAAAACUCAAAGGAAUUGACGGGGGCUCACACAAGCGGUGGAGCAUGUGGCUUAAUUCGAAGCAACGCGAAGAACCUUAUCCUGGGUUUGACAUGAUCGGAUGCCUUCCCUGAAAGGGGAUAGGCUGCCUUCGGGUGAAACGACCACAGGUGCUGCAUGGCUGUCGUCAGCUCGUGUCGUGAGAUGUCGGGUUAAGUCCCUUAACGAGCGAAACCCUUAUCGCUAGUUGCCAGCGGGUCAAGCCGGGGACUCUAGCGAGACUGCCGGUGUUAAACCGGAGGAAGGUGGGGAUGACGUCAAGUCCUCAUGGCCUUUAUGCCCAGGGCUGCACACGUGCUACAAUGGUGCGGACAAAGCGAAGCAAUGCCGUGAGGCGGGGCAAAUCGCACAAACCGCGCCCCAGUUCGGAUUGCAGGCUGCAACUCGCCUGCAUGAAGUUGGAAUCGCUAGUAAUCGCAGAUCAGCUAUGCUGCGGUGAAUGUGUUCCUGAGCCU
rnacentral:rRNA from 1 species